rnacentral:misc_RNA from 1 species
AAGUCGUAACAAGGUUUCCGUAGGUGAACCUGCGGAAGGAUCAUUACCAGAAAGGAACCAGUUUCCUUGGGGCUUCGGCCCCAUCUCUUCGCCCCGUGUCUACCUACCUUUGUUGCUUUGGCGGGUUGCGGGCGUCCCCUUCGGCCUUCGGGUUUGCCGGCACUCGGUUCUUAGCGAGCCCUCCGGCUGGUCGCCCCCCGCCAGAAGCCCAGUAAAUUUCGUUUUUCAGCGUCGUCCGAGUUAUAAAACAUCAAUAGUUAAAAAAACUUUCAACAACGGAUCUCUUGGUUCUG